rnacentral:rRNA from 1 species
CUGGACACUGAACAUGGAGCCUUGAUGUGUAGGAUAGGUGGGAGGCUUUGAAGCGUGGACGCCAGUCUGCGUGGAGCCGACCUUGAAAUACCACCCUUUAAUGUUUGAUGUUCUAACGUUGGCCCCUUACCGGGGUUGCGGACAGUGUCUGGUGGGUAGUUUGACUGGGGCGGUCUCCUCCCAAAGCGUAACGGAGGAGCACGAAG